CACGCAAGCUGCCAUACUCAGACCGAGAAUCCCAAAAUCGCCAAGGGACCCAUCCUGGAUCAUCAGCAGCUGCCGCCUGGCUGGCCGCCUGCAGAAGAGCCGCCUCCGGUACUCCUGCGAGGCCCUCGGUAAAAGCGUGAGCACCACGAUCACAUCUCAGGACGCUGCACACUUUAGGGUCGCCCACAGACCGCCAUUGCCAAUGCCUGGAAGGCACUGAACGGGCCCUCCUGCUCUUUGUAAAUGUCACCUCUCGUAAGCUAUGUUGUGUUGAAAAUUUUUAACUGCAGUCCACACAUACUUCUUUGUUUCUGUCUUGUUUUUAUCCUAGAGGCAUAUUAUUAUGGAAAAUUAAGUUUGCAAGUGUGAAGGGUUUUCUGAAAAUCGACUUCUAAUCCUGGAAGGACCAAAAAAAAAAAAAAAAAACUGCCAGAUGUGGUGCUCACGCCUGUAA